CCCAGACUCCUACGGGAGGCAGCAGUGAGGAAUAUUGGUCAAUGGGCGAGAGCCUGAACCAGCCAAGUCGCGUGAGGGAAGACGGUCCUAUGGAUUGUAAACCUCUUUUGCCGGGGAGCAAAGAGCGGUACGCGUACCGCAUCGAGAGUACCCGGAGAAAAAGCAUCGGCUAACUCCGUGCCAGCAGCCGCGGUAAUACGGAGGAUGCGAGCGUUAUCCGGAUUUACUGGGUGUAAAGGGCGUGCAGCCGGAGAGACAAGUCAGAUGUGAAAUCCACGGGCUCAACCCGUGAACUGCAUUUGAAACUGUUCCCCUUGAGUGUCGGAGAGGUAAUCGGAAUUCCUUGUGUAGCGGUGAAAUGCGUAGAUAUAAGGAAGAACACCAGUGGCGAAGGCGGAUUACUGGACGAUAACUGACGGUGAGGCGCGAAAGCGUGGGGAGCAAACAGGAUUAGAUACCCCAGUAU
rnacentral:rRNA from 1 species